rnacentral:misc_RNA from 1 species
GAGAAACAGAAGUGCGACACAUACACCAUGCCAUAGACCACCACAGAUAUAAGAUGUUUAAAGUAAGACUAAGCAGUAGCACAAAAUUUACAAUACUUAAACAUUUCAGAGCAGAACAUGAGUCCAUAACAAUUUAAUGCUUAAUAUUUGAAAGGAAAAUGAGGGAAGAGAAAAUAACUUAACAUGAAAAUUACUCGGCACCUCACAGCAAAUAUUUUAAGAUUGAUAUCUAGUUAUCCAAUAUAUACCUGGGUCUAAAGGCUGCACACU